AUCGAUGAAGAACGCAGCGAAAUGCGAUAAGUAAUGUGAAUUGCAGAAUUCAGCGAAUCAUCGAAUCUUUGAACGCACAUUGCGCCUCCGGGUAUUCCUGGAGGCAUGCCUGUUCGAGCGUCGUUAAAGACCAUAAGGCUUUGCCUUGCGAUGAGCUUCCGGCCUUUUUCUAGGUUGGAUGCUUCAAACUCAUUGGCGUCUGAAGUUAGUCCAAGCACAGCGAUAUGUGUUCUGUUUCUGACUGAAGAUUGCCUGUACCCCCCCCAAAAAUUAUUAAUUGGUCGACCUCGGAUCAGGCAAGAUUACCCGCUGAACUUAAGCAUAUCAAUAAGCGGAGGAAAAGAAACCAACAGGGAUUGCCUCAGUAACGGCGAGUGAAGCGGCAAGAGCUCAAAUUUUAAAUCUGCCUUUUAGGCCGAGUUGUAAUUCGUAGAGGAACGUUCGGUGAAGUCUAGGUCCGAGUCUUCUGGAAGGAAGCGCCGAUGAGGGUGAGAGCCCCGUACGACUGACGACUUAGCCAUGUGAACGCCCUUCGAAGAGUCGAGUUGUUUGGGAAUGCAGCUCAAAGCGGGUGGUAAAUUCCAUCUAAAGCUAAAUAUUGGCCAGAGACCGAUAGCGCACAAGUAGAGUGAUCGAAAGAUGAAAAGCACUUUGGAAAGAGAGUGAAAAAGUACGUGAAAUUGUUGAAAGGGAAGCGCUUGCGACCAGACUUGAUUGUUCAGUUCAAGGGUUCUUUUGGACCUGGUACUUCUGUUUAAUCAGGCCAACAUCAGUUCGGACGGUUGGAUAAAAGCUUGGGGAACGUGGCUCUUCGGAGUGUUAUAGCCCCUCGCACAAUACAGCCAGACCGGACUGAGGAAUGCCUUUUUGUAGGAUGUUGGCGUAAUGGUUGCCAGCGGCCCGUCUUGAAACACGG
rnacentral:rRNA from 1 species